UUAAGGGCAUUCGGUGGAUGCCUUGGCGACAAGAGGCGAUGAAGGACGUGAUACGCUGCGAUAAGCCAUGGGGAGCUGCGAAUAAGCUUUGAUCCGUGGAUUUCCGAAUGGGGAAACCCACUCCGUAUGGAGUACCCGCAAGGGAGCAAACCCGGGGAACUGAAACAUCUAAGUACCCGGAGGAAAGGACAUCAACCGAGACUCCGCUAGUAGUGGCGAGCGAACGCGGACCAGGCCAGUGGCUUGCAUUUAAGAACCGGAACCGUCUGGAAAGUCGGGCAUUAGUGGGUGAUAGCCCCGUACGGGUAGAAAUUAUGCAAGUCCUCGAGUAGGGCGGGACACGUGAAAUCCUGUCUGAACGUGGGGGGACCACCCUCCAAGCCUAAGUACUCCUUGUCGACCGAUAGCGAACAAGUACCGUGAGGGAAAGGUGAAAAGUACCCCGACGAGGGGAGUGAAACAGUUCCUGAAACCGGAUGCCUACAAACAGUUGGAGGGCGCAAGCCUGACAGCGUACCUUUUGUAUAAUGGGUCAGCGACUUAAUUUAACGAGCAAGCUUAAGCCGGUAGGUGUAGGCGUAGCGAAAGCGAGUCUGAAUAGGGCGCCCUAGUUCGUUGGAUUAGACCCGAAACCGAGUGAUCUAGCCAUGGCCAGGUUGAAGGUGCGGUAACACGCACUGGAGGACCGAACCCACGCCUGUUGAAAAAGUCGGGGAUGAGCUGUGGCUAGGGGUGAAAGGCCAAUCAAACUCGGAAAUAGCUGGUUCUCCGCGAAAUCUAUUUAGGUAGAGCGUCGGAUGAAUACUCUCGGGGGUAGAGCACUGGAUGGGCUAUGGGGGCUUACCGCCUUACUGAUCCUAACCAAACUCCGAAUACCGAGAAGUACUAUCCGGCAGACACACAGUGGGUGCUAACGUCCAUUGUGGAGAGGGAAACAACCCUGACCGCCAGUUAAGGUCCCUAAGUUAUGGCUAAGUGGGAAAGGAUGUAGAACUCCCAAAACAACCAGGAUGUUGGCUUAGAAGCAGCCAUCAUUUAAAGAAAGCGUAACAGCUCACUGGUCUAAAUAAGGGGUUCCGCGCCGAAAAUGUACCGGGGCUCAAGCCAUACACCGAAACUGCGGGUGCAUCUUAGGAUGCGCGGUAGCGGAGCGUUCUGUAAGUCUGCGAAGGGGGACCCGUGAGGGCUCCUGGAGAUAUCAGAAGUGCGAAUGCUGACAUGAGUAACGAUAAAGCGGGUGAGAGACCCGCUCGCCGAAAGUCCAAGGGUUCCUGCGCAACGCUAAUCGGCGCAGGGUUAGCCGGCCCCUAAGGCGAGGCCGAAAGGCGUAGUCGAUGGGAAUGCAGUUAAUAUUCUGCAGCUUGGUGGUAGUGACGGAUGCCGUGUGUUGUAUCUCCUUAUUGGAUUGGGGGUGCAGCGAAGGUGUUCCAGGAAAUAGCUCCACCGUAUAAACCGUACCCGAAACCGACACAGGUGGACUGGUAGAGAAUACCAAGGCGCUUGAGAGAACUAUGCUGAAGGAACUCGGCAAAAUGCUCCCGUAAGUUCGCGAGAAGGGAGACCUCACGAUGGGCAACCGUUGUGGGGUGGCACAGACCAGGGGGUGGCGACUGUUUAUCAAAAACACAGGGCUCUGCGAAGCCGUAAGGCGACGUAUAGGGUCUGACGCCUGCCCGGUGCUGGAAGGUUAAGAGGAGGUGUGCAAGCACCGAAUUGAAGCCCCAGUAAACGGCGGCCGUAACUAUAACGGUCCUAAGGUAGCGAAAUUCCUUGUCGGGUAAGUUCCGACCUGCACGAAUGGCGUAACGACUUCCCCGCUGUCUCCAGCAUAGACUCAGUGAAAUUGAAUUCCCCGUGAAGAUGCGGGGUUCCUGCGGUCAGACGGAAAGACCCCGUGCACCUUUACUACAGCUUCACACUGGUAUUCGUCACGACAUGUGUAGGAUAGGUGGUAGACGUUGAAGCAGGAGCGCCAGCUCUUGUGGAGUCACCCUUGAAAUACCACCCUUGUCGUCAUGGAUAUCUAACCGCGGUACAACAAUAUCCGGGACCGUGUGUGGCGGGUAGUUUGACUGGGGCGGUCGCCUCCCAAAUGGUAACGGAGGCGCGCGAAGGUGGGCUCAGAGCGGUCGGAAAUCGCUCGUUGAGUGCAAUGGCAUAAGCCUGCCUGACUGCGAGACUGACAAGUCGAGCAGAGUCGAAAGACGGCCAUAGUGAUCCGGUGGUCCCUCGUGGAAGGGCCAUCGCUCAACGGAUAAAAGGUACGCCGGGGAUAACAGGCUGAUGAUGCCCAAGAGUCCAUAUCGACGGCAUUGUUUGGCACCUCGAUGUCGACUCAUCACAUCCUGGGGCUGGAGCAGGUCCCAAGGGUUUGGCUGUUCGCCAAUUAAAGUGGUACGUGAGUUGGGUUCAGAACGUCGCGAGACAGUUCGGUCCCUAUCUGCCGUGGGUGUAGGAGAAUUGAGAGGAUCUGUCCCUAGUACGAGAGGACCGGGAUGGACGUACCUCUGGUGGACCUGUUGUGGCGCCAGCCGCAUUGCAGGGUAGCUAUGUACGGAAGGGAUAACCGCUGAAAGCAUCUAAGCGGGAAACCCACCUCAAAACCAGUUCUCCCUGAAGAGCCGUGGAAGACCACCACGUCGAUAGGAAGCGUGUGGAAGUGCGGCAACGCAUGAAGCUUAGCUUUACUAAUAGCUCGUUCGGCUUGAUC
rnacentral:rRNA from 1 species